GACCAUAAUUUUCACUAAUGAGUUUAUGGAAGACAAUGCUUUUUCAUAAUGUAGUAUUCAGUGAACAUUAUCACUGUCCUAAAUAUACUGUGGUAAGAAGGAAAACUUCAACCAACAGUGGAGACCUUUUCUCAAGACUUUUGGAUGACAGGACGAAAGACAAGAUGUUGGAAAUAAAUUUCACUACCUGCUCAGAGCCUCGAAUUUAAGGUGCUAUGUAGAAAACGUUGAUUUAAAAACAAAUUAAUUUGUUUGAAAGAAAAAUGAUUAACCAGAGCACAAUGGAGGCAAAGCUUCAAAAAUACAACAGUAAAUAACUAAUUUGGGGAGCAGCAGCCUGGAAAGCAUAUCACAUUUGACUAAAUAGAGAAAAAGAGACUUGCUAGCAGUCCCUCCAAAAGAGUAGGUCUUCCAAUCCUGUUUAACAAGCUACUAAAAAUUUUGAGGAAGAAGUCACCUGGUUUCUCAUAGUCCACAAAUGAAGAAUGGACUCACUUUUCAGGUUCAUAUUAUUUUGGAAGUCAAGAGCACCACACACAUGAAGCAAGAAAUUAUUGGAACUAUAGAUGUUUGUAUAAGA